rnacentral:rRNA from 1 species
UACGUAGGGUGCAGGCGUUAAUCGGAAUUACUGGGCGUAAAGCGUGCGCAGGCGGUUUUGUAAGCCAGAUGUGAAAGCCCCGGGCUUAACCUGGGAAUGGCAUUUGGGACUGCAAGGCUUGAGUGCGGCAGAGGAGACUGGAAUUCCCGGUGUAGCAGUGAAAUGCGUAGAUAUCGGGAGGAAUACCGAUGGCGAAGGCAGGUCUCUGGGCUGACACUGACGCUCAUGCACGAAAGCGUGGGGAGCAAACAGG